rnacentral:rRNA from 1 species
GGCCGGUACAGAAGGAUGCGAGACCGCGAGGUGGAAGCAAACCCCUAAAACCGGCCCCAGUUCAGAUUGGAGUCUGCAACCCGACUCCAUGAAGUUGGAUUCGCUAGUAACGGCGCAUCAGCAUUCGGCGCCGUGAAUACGUUCCCGGGCCUU